rnacentral:rRNA from 1 species
UACAGAGGUCUCAAGCGUUGUUCGGAUUCAUUGGGCGUAAAGGGUGUGUAGGUGGCGCGCUAAGUCGGGUGUGAAAUUUCGGAGCUUAACUCCGAAACUGCAUUCGAAACUGGCGUGCUUGAGGACUGGAGAGGAGACUGGAAUUCCAGGUGUAGCGGUGAAAUGCGUAGAUAUCUGGAGGAACACCGGUGGCGAAGGCGGCAUCCUGGACCGGUAUUGACGCUGAGGCGCGAAAGCUAGGGGAGCAAACGGG